CCUUGAGGUCCUCUCCCUCUCUACAAUUCUGGAGAGUCAUUGUCUCGAAAUCAUCUGGCAAAGCUCCUGUGUGAAUUCCCAUCUAUUUAGGAAUGGAUUGCUAGAAGAUUACUCUUUCUUUCCAUAUGCGGUCAACGCCAAUAAUGUCCUCCUGCUUUGGGGAAGAGAGCAUUGGAUUCAAGUCAGACAGACUGGAGCAAAGUAACUUCCAUUGCUUGACAGGAAGCAAAGAUUCCACAGUGGGCCUUAACAGCAACAGAAUGUCUUAGGUCACCACUAAAAGAAGAUGGCUUGGUUCCCUUCUGGAACAGUCCUUUCAAAAGAAGCAAAACAACCAGGAGGAUCCUACAGAGGAGCAUCUAGGAAGACUUUUUUUUAACACACCUUUGCUCCAGAAAUGCUUUAAGGUUCCUGAUUAAAAGAAUAUGGUCACCUGGAGUACCCUUGAAUACUUGCUUUGGACUAGAACUAGUCUCCAAAGUCCAUACAUUUAGGAUUCUAGAUUUAGAACUGGAAGCAAUGAGAAAGGUCACUGAGUUGAAGCCUCACAGUUUUAGAUGAAAGUGAGAUAAGUACAGCUAAGGGUCUGAAGUUAGAUUUGAACUUGGGUCUCCCUGACUCUAGUCAGUCACAAACCAUUUAUGAAGCAUCUCCUACAUGCCAGAAACUUUGCUAAGUGCAAGUGCCAGAUCAUCUGGUAUUUAAAGGUCUUACCAGCCUGGCCCUUGUGUACAAGGGAGAAGCAAAGAAAAAUUGAAUUUUGAAGAAAUGCCUCAGAAGAUGAGCAGAUGGAACCCCACCAGACCUGGGGCGAUGGGAUGGAAUUCCAACCAGGCUCAAAAGCAGCUGGAAGAAAAGACCAAGGUUCUUCUUGUCUUGGCUGGAGACUACCCAAAGCAUUCCCAGAAAGCAUCUGAACUUGUGUUUCCAGUUAAGAGAGAAAUCAGUAUUUCACUUGGAAAGAAAGCCUGGAGGAAUGGACCCACAAGAUGCUCAGAAGGCAGAGAAAUCCAGGGUGAAACCAGUGGGUGGCUGUCACAGCUGAUCGUGAAUGUUCAUCUUCAGCAGCUUUAAGAUUCCAGCUAGGAAGAGCAAUCACCUAAGUCACCAGCUUUCUCCUAAGCGAGAGAGGCAAGACCAGACCCAGCUGGCCUCAUUCCCAGACCUCUGCUCCGUCCAGCAAACCUCCUUUUACUCUCUGGUGAGAUGAUUAUGGCACAUAAUAAAGUGUAAAAUCCACUAACUUAGCUUUGUGUU
rnacentral:lncRNA from 1 species